AUGAAGACUGCUACGGGGAAAGAAAGCAUGCCUGUGUGGGUAAAGAAGCAGAAAGCCAAGGCCCCUCCUUGCGGGCAGAGGCUCCAGGAGGAACCCGGCCCCUAUUCAGCUUUCAACGGGCUGUUUGAGCAAAUGAUGUUACCCGUGGGCCUCACACAAGGAGCUGAGCCUGUUGUAGGAGUCCCACCCUCAGCCUCAGGGGACAUUCUGAAGGCAGUCUGGUUCUGUGUUGGGGCUUUGGGGCAUCUUCUGGCUUCCCACAGGAACACAGUGAGGGAGGUAAGUCAUUGCUGGUCACCCCCUCCGCAGAUGAGGUCACGGGGCCACUUCCCAGCUCCCUGGGCAGGUAAGCACCCCACACUGGCUCUGGGACAGCUUCCUAACUUCCCUGCUAUGGGCCAGGCCCUGAGGACCCCCUGUGGCUCCUUCCAGGCCACCUCCCUUCCCUUCCUGAGAGCAGGUUCAGCGACUCUUCUUAGCGCUAAUAGCUCGAGUGGCCUUGGCAGAUCCUGGCCCUGGAGCUGCUCCCUGUCCUUCAGGUGCAUUGAUCCCUGGGGGCUGUGACACAUCAGAUCCAUCACAGGUAAGGCGUACCUUUCUUUGGGGGAUGGCCAGCAGUGGGAACCAGGAAGGGGCUGGCCCAGAGGGCCUAAGGCUGUGUCCUUCACCUAUUUGGUGGUGGCAGCCACAGGCCAGCACUGCAGUUGGGGACCACAGAUCUUUUUUUUGAAACGUACCCGUGGCGUUCUCCUACCCUUCCUGGGUAACGUUUUAAGGAAAACUUGGUGGUGGACCCUGUCACUCUCCUGUAUAGAAUUCUUCCAGGACCCCACGGCCCUAGGAAGAAGUCUGGUGGCUAGUGGGCUCCCCAGGGCCCCGAGCCUGCCGCUUACCACCUCCCCUCCCACCCUGGAGCCCGCAGUCCCCACCUUGCGUUCCCCACCCAGGUUUCCUUCCUGUCUGCAGCUCCCCACCUUCACCUCUGUGCCUCCAAAUGCCCUUUCUUGCCCCCUUUCUCCUCCUCUCUACUUGGGUAACUGUGCUUUACCCUUUGGGGCUCUGGAGUAGGAGUGCUGACUCCCAAGGCUUAGGAAGCUCCUCUCACAGCCUUACCUGUAUCGUCACUGAUUUGAGGCAGCAAGCCUGGGCUCUAGGGGAGCUGGGGUCUACCUUGUUCACCACGCCACCGUCCUGAGGCUGGGAAGGAUUAAUGCUCAACACACAAUUGUUAAAUGAAGGAACACACACUCAGGGCCAGAGGGCUGACCCUGCUCAUCCAUUUCCCUGAUGGAGCAACUGAGGCUAAGGGGACCAGCAGGACCCGGGGAGAGGCUCAAGCGGCUAAGACCAAAAGCUAGCGCUUCUUCUGGCCGGACUGGCACUCCUGACCACGCCUUGGUUAUUUUUCUCCCUUUUAAGAGCGCCCCGUGCCCCUGAGCGCACAGGUGACUCAUGUGAUAGAAUUUCAAAAGCCUGCAAUUUGCCCUGAGUGUUUAGGCCACACGAGCUUCUGCUGUUGCCGUGGGCAAAGGCAAUGCCCACCUGCCCGGGUGGCAACCAAGUGCCCAGGCUCCAGUAAAGUGUCCAUGUUGGUUUCCUGGUUCCUCCCUGGGGCUCGUGGCACCCCGAAGAAGGCCCAUCCCUCCCUGCCCUGGGACUUCCACUCCCGGGAAAGUGUGGUUUGCCACCCGAGGGUGUCUUAUAAAAGCUCAGCUUUAAUUAAUCAAUCACUGAGAGAUGAAUUGGUUAAUGUGGGCCCCGCUCCCCCGUGGGUGACUGGCACGUGAAUGAGUGUCAAUUAUUUCAGCAUUAAUAAUUAAUGCUCUCAGGGCGCUUGCGUGGCUCAGUCGGUUAAGCGGCCGACUUCGGCUCAGGUCAUGAUCUCGCGGUCCGUGAGUUCGAGCCCCGCGUCGGGCUCUGUGCUGACAGCUCAGAGCCUAGAGCCUGUUUCGGAUUCUGUGUCUCUCUCUCUCUCUCUCUGACCCUCCCCUGUUCAUGCUCUGUCUCUCCCUGUCUCAAAAAAUAAAUAAAACGUUAAAAAAAAUUAAAAAAAAAAU
ensembl:lncRNA